UGCCAGCAGCCGCGGUAAUACGGAGGAUCCAAGCGUUAUCCGGAUUCACUGGGUUUAAAGGGUGCGUAGGCGGAAUGAUAAGUCAGUGGUGAAAACCUACAGCUUAACUGUAGAACUGCCAUUGAUACUAUUAUUCUUGAGUGUAUUGGAUGUGAAUGGAAUGUGUCGUGUAGCGGUGAAAUGCUUAGAUAUGACACAGAACACCCAUUGCGAAGGCAGUUCACAACACUACAACUGACGCUGAGGCACGAAAGCGUGGGGAUCAAACAGGAUUAGAUACCCUGGUAGUCCACGCCGUAAACGUUGAUUACUAGAUGUGUGCGCGUUAGCGUACGUGUCAAAGCGAAAGCGUUAAGUAAUCCACCCUGGGGAGUACGAUCGCAAGAUUGAAACUCAAAGGAAUGACGGGC
rnacentral:rRNA from 1 species